rnacentral:misc_RNA from 1 species
AAAACAGAGAGGAAGAGCCUAGUGAGCGUCUUCCUCCUCGCAGUGCUUGGUGUACUUGGCCGGGUCCAGCAGGGCGUCCAGCUCCGACGGGCUGCUCGGCUUCACCUUGAUCAUCCACCCGUCCUCGUACGGGCUUGAGUUAAUCAGGCCGGGUGUCUCAGAGAGCUUGUCGUUAACCUCGACGACCUCACCGGAGAUGGGGGAGUUGAUGUCGCUGGUGGCCUUCACACUCUCCACGUUGCCGAAUGCACCUCCCUGGCUCACCUUCGCCCCCGCCUCCGGCAGCUCCACGAACACCACCUCUCCCAGAUGGCCCUGAGCAUGGUCUGUAAUUCCAAUUGUGGCCACAGAGCCAUCAUUCUUGACCCACUCAUGAGAGGAGCUGUACUUCAACCCAUCAAGAACAGUGGAGAAGUAUCUGGAGAUUGAGUAGGCAGGUGCAGCCCUGGUGGCUCCACUGCAUGAGAUCUUGAGGGCAUUGGCAGCUGAGCUAGCCCACAGCCUCAGAGCCAUUUCUGUGCCAAUUUCUUGCUUGUUACCAAAGUAUCUGUGUUCUUCUUUUUUCCUUCUCCUA